CUCAGCUGUCCAGGCCUGGCGCUGUAUCAGCAGCUUAGGAACAAACAAACCACCUGCGAGUGGAUGGUGGUGGGAACACAUUCUCGUGUGUCUUAUCCUCCCCUCUCCAGGACCAGCUUCCAGCUGCGCUUUAUUGACCACAAGGAUUUGCAGGACUCAGCCCCGGACCAGGAUGGAUGGCCCGAGGCUGCACAGGUGAGCAGGAAGACAAGCGGUCAGAGCGCAGCCUCUGGGAGCCCGUCCGUCUGAGCGCAAAGCCCGUCUCCUGCAAUUCUCAGCUGGGACAGCCAACCCUUUCGGAUUUCUGAAAACUUCAAGCAACUCAGGUUCCUAGUGACCCUGAAGAAUGGACCUUACAUGAAAGACAGAGAAAUUGUGGAGUUCUUUCCUCUUCAUUGGUGGCCCCCCUUUUACAGCGGUGACCUGGCCUUUCUUGGAUUCGUGGUCCAGAUCAAGGCAGGAGAGAGAGAAGAAGCCUGAAGAAGUUGACCCAUGAUAUGUAUAAAGGGCCUACUACUGUCAUACCCCAGCGUUCUGACUGAGACUUGGAUAGACACCAGAGUGUGGCAGCAGGUGGGGACGAGGACACUGAGACCUGGCUGCUGUAGACCUGGCCUGCACAUACGUUCAUGAUGCGUUUUUACAGUUUCCUUCUAUUUGUGACAAGAGAUGCUGGUUGUCCAGUUAUGGUGGUUGACAAACAUUCCACAUAAGGACAGAGUUGGGGGAGUACUGGUUACUGAAACGUGGAACAGACACCGCCAGACUUCCCUCCAGGAUGGGGGCGCGUUGGAGAAUGUCCCAACUCUGGACAGUGGGUCAGUGGACCAGGUAUCCGCUUGCCUGGAGAGCAGCCUGAUCUGGGCCCCGAAGACCAGAGGAGGCACUUUACCUCCCUCCUUCACGUCAUGUACGGUGUCCUUCCCGGCAUGGGCAGCCUGGGGCCUUUACUCCUGCUCCUUGGAACUAAGGGUCUUCUGCUACCAGACAGCACCCAGGACAUGGAGGAUGAUGAGUGGGACCCUAGGGGGAAAAUAGGGGUGAGGUCCUGGUGACAAAUCACCAGAGAGGGAGCUCCCUGGUGGCCACAGAGAAAGCCCAGAGGUACUAGAGGCCCCUGGGCUGGGAUGUCCCGUCCUGUCUCCUAACAAGCUCUGUGGAUCUAGCUGUCCCCCAGGCUCCAGGGUGUGGUCUGCCCAGCAUUGUGAGCUGCAGGAGGGUGGCUGUAGUCGGGGACCCAAGGCCACCAUAGGGAAAGUGAUAGGGUGGCCUCAGGUCAUCCCAUGCAUGAUAGGACCCACCUGUCCCUGUACUAGCUCAGAGAAAGCGUCAAAGCCUGGGCUGCAGGCCCCCUGACCAUAGGCCCAGCCCUUCGGGGGGCACAUUUUGCUUUUGUGUUCAUUGUUCCAGAAGCAGGAAGCAGAACUCUUCAAGGAAAGAGACUCAUCAAGUCAACCUGGUUCCUGUCCUCCUCCUGGGGGCCUCACGGAGAUUCAGAUUCAAGCCUCCCCACCCUGGAGACCCUGCCCAGAGGUAGUGCCUCCCACGCCCUCCAUCCCUGAGAAGAGAACUUGGGCAGAAUCCCCUUCUGGCUGCCUGUGUCCUGGGUGCCCUGCCUCUGUUCAUGUUUCCUCUGAGAGUCCUAAGGCAGCCCACCUCACAGGCCACCUCCCUUGCCAGCUCCCAGGAGAAUGUAACAGCCCCCACCCCACUCCCUUCAUUGACAGGCCCCUCCCUGUCCACAGAUUGGCCCAGCCUAUGGCCUGGCCUCCGGGGCUGAGGAAGUAUGAUAUGCUGAAAAGAAAUCAGGUUGUGGAUGAGCAAAACUACCUAAUAA